rnacentral:rRNA from 1 species
AAAGGAAUAGACGGGGGCCCGCACAAGCAGCGGAGCAUGUGGUUUAAUUCGAAGCAACGCGAAGAACCUUACCAGGUCUUGACAUCCGACAAAAGCGGCAGAAAGGCCGUGUCCCUUCGGGGGUGUCGAGACAGGUGGUGCAUGGUUGUCGUCAGCUCGUGUCGUGAGAUGUUGGGUUAAGUCCCGCAACGAGCGCAACCCCUGUUGGCAGUUGCUAACGAGUAAAGUUGAGGACUCUGCCGAGACCGCCGGGGACAACUCGGAGGAAGGUGGGGACGACGUCAAAUCAUCAUGCCCCUUAUGACCUGGGCUACACACGUGCUACAAUGGCCGCAACAGAGAGGAGCGAAGGCGUGAGCUGGAGCAGAUCUCAGAAAAGCGGUCUCAGUUCGGAUUGUGGGCUGCAACCCGCCCACAUGAAGCAGGAGUUGCUAGUAAUCGCGAAUCAGCAUGUCGCGGUGAAUACGUUCCCGGGCCUUGUACACACCGCCCGU